rnacentral:rRNA from 1 species
AGUGAACGCUGGCGGUAGGCCUAACACAUGCAAGUCGAACGACAGCACAGUAAGAGCUUGCUCUUACGGGUGGCGAGUGGCGGGCGGGUGAGGAGUACAUCGGCAUCUACUUUUUCGUGGAGGAUAACGGAAGACAGGUUCCACUAAUACCGCAUACGACCUACGGCUGAAAGCAGGGGAUCUUCGGACCUUGCGCGACUGAAUGAGCCGACGCCGGAUUAGCUAGUUGGCGGGGUAAAGGCCCACCAAGGCGACGAUGCGUAGCCGGCCUGAGAGGAUGAUCAGCCACACUGGAACUGAGACACGGUCCAGACUCCUACGGGAGGCAGCAGUAGGGAAUAUUCCACAAUGGGCGCAAGCCUGACGCAGCAAUGCCGCGUGAGUGAUGAAGGUCUUCGGAUCGUAAAGCUCUGUUAUUAGGAAAGAAAAAAUGUGUAUGUAACUCUGCCCGUCUUGACGGUACCUAAUCAGAAAGCCACGGCUAACUACGUG